AACGAACGCUGGCGGCAGGCCUAACACAUGCAAAUCGAGCGAGGUAGCAAUACCUAGCGGCGGACGGGUUAGUAACGCGUGGGAACGUGCCCAAAGGUACGGAAUAGCCUCGGGAAACUGAGAGUAAUACCGUAUGUGCCCUUCGGGGGAAAGAUUUAUCGCCUUUGGAUCGGCCCGCGUUGGAUUAGGUAGUUGGUGGGGUAAUGGCCUACCAAGCCGACGAUCCAUAGCUGGUUUGAGAGGAUGAUCAGCAACACUGGGACUGAGACACGGCCCAGACUCCUACGGGAGGCAGCAGUGGGGAAUCUUAGACAAUGGGGGAAACCCUGAUCUAGCCAUGCCGCGUGAGCGAUGAAGGCCUUAGGGUUGUAAAGCUCUUUCAGCUGGGAAGAUAAUGACGGUACCAGCAGAAGAAGCCCCGGCUAACUCCGUGCCAGCAG
rnacentral:rRNA from 1 species